UACGAAGGGGGCUAGCGUUGCUCGGAAUCACUGGGCGUAAAGGGAGCGUAGGUGGCCUUAUAAGUCAGUGGUGAAAUCUCUGGGCUUAACCCAGAAAUUGCCAUUGAUACUGUAGGGCUUGAGUACAGUUGCUGUGGGCGGAAUAUGACAUGUAGUGGUGAAAUACAUAGAGAUGUCAUAGAACACCGAUUGCGAAGGCAGCUCACAAAACUGUAACUGACACUGAGGCUCGAAAGUGCGGGGAUCAAACAGG
rnacentral:rRNA from 1 species